rnacentral:rRNA from 1 species
CUGAAAUUCGCCUUCAUGAAGCUGGAAUUGCUAGUAAUGGCAGGUCAGCAUACUGCCGUGAAUACGUUCCCCGGGGCCUUGUACACACCGCCCGUCACACCAUGAGAGUUGGGAAUACCCGAAGCCUGUGAGCUAACUUAUAGAGGCAGCAGUCGAAGGUAGAAUCAAUGAUUGGGGUGAAGUCGUAACAAGGUACC